rnacentral:misc_RNA from 1 species
GAACGCACCUUGCACUCUUUGGUAUUCCGAAGAGUAUGUCUGUUUGAGUGUCAUGAAACUCUCAACCCCCUUAUUUUGUAAUGAAAUAAGUUGUGGGCUUGGAUUAUGGCUGUUGUCGGUGUAACAACCGGCUCGGCUGAAAUAUACGAGCGACCCAACGUUUUUGAAUAGAGACGGUUUGACUCGGCGUAAUAGUAUAUUUCGCUGAGGACGUCACUUCUCAAAUAUUAGUUAGUGGUGCUUCUAAUGCAAUAAUCAAUUUAAGCUUUAGACCUCAAAUCAGUCAGGACUACCCGCUGAACUUAA